rnacentral:rRNA from 1 species
UUAAAUUGAGAGUUUGAUCCUGGCUCAGGACGAACGCUGGCGGCGUGCUUAACACAUGCAAGUCGAACGGGAUUUAGUAAACAGAAGCUUCGGUGGAAGAUUACUAA